rnacentral:rRNA from 1 species
AGGACGAACGCUGGCGGCGUGCUUAAACACAUGCAAGUCGAGCGAGGCCCUUCCUUCGGGAAGGUGCCCUAGCGGCGAACGGGUGAGUAACACGUGGGCAACCUGCCCCUAGCACUGGGAUAAGCCCGGGAAACCGGGUCUAAUACCGGAUAUGACCUUCGAGGGCAUCCUUGAAGGUGUAAAGGAUUCUGGCUAGGGAUGGGCCCGCGGCCUAUCAGCUUGUUGGUGGGGUAAUGGCCUACCAAGGCGACGACGGGUAGCCGGCCUGAGAGGGCGACCGGCCACACUGGGACUGAGACACGGCCCAGACUCCUACGGGAGGCAGCAGUGGGAAUCUUGCACAAUGGGCGAAAGCCUGAUGCAGCGACGCCGCGUGAGGGAUGACUGCCUUCGGGUUGUAAACCUCUUUCAGCAGGACGAAGCGAAAAGUCGACGGUACCUGCAGAAGAAGCACCGCAACACGCGCCAGCAGCCGC